UACGGAGGGGGCUAGCGUUGUUCGGAAUUACUGGGCGUAAAGCGCACGUAGGCGGCUUGCUAAGUCAGGGGUGAAAUCCUGGAGCUCAACUCCAGAACUGCCUUUGAUACUGGCGACCUUGAGUCCGGGAGAGGUGAGUGGAACUGCGAGUGUAGAGGUGAAAUUCGUAGAUAUUCGCAAGAACACCAGUGGCGAAGGCGGCUCACUGGCCCGGUACUGACGCUGAGGUGCGAAAGCGUGGGGAGCAAACAGG
rnacentral:rRNA from 1 species